CGAACGGUUGAGAGGUGGGAGUUGAGAGGUUAGAAGUGGGAAAAGAAAAAGUCUCACAUCCAACUUCUCACAUCUCACUUCUCAAUAGUGGCGGACGGGUGAGUAACGCGUGGGUAACCUGCCCUUAACACCGGGACAACAGCGGGAAACUGCUGCUAAUACCGGAUAAUCUCAAGAGAAGGCAUCUUCUUUUGAGGAAAGGUGGCCUCUGAAUAUGCUACCGAUUAAGGAUGGACCCGCGUCUGAUUAGCUAGUUGGUAGGGUAGCGGCCUACCAAGGCGACGAUCAGUAGCCGGCCUGAGAGGGUGACCGGCCACACUGGGACUGAGACACGGCCCAGACUCCUACGGGAGGCAGCAGUGGGGAAUCUUCCGCAAUGGGCGAAAGUCUGACGGAGCAACGCCGCGUGAGUGAAGAAGGUUUUCGGAUCGUAAAACUCUGUUGUCAGAGAAGAACAAGUUGGAGAGUAACUGCUCCAGCCUUGACGGUAUCUGACCAGAAAGCCACGGCUAACUACGUG
rnacentral:rRNA from 1 species